CAGCCACAUCAUCAGGAAGGUAGGGGCUUUUUGUGACACCUGUCACUUAACCAAUUCAAUCGUAAAAUCAUAAAAUCUUCAGUGUAAUCCGGUUAUUUCAUAACUUGGCUUUUAUUACAGUUUGGUAUUAAGCCCAAUCAAUAGAUUAAGACAAGCCCAAUUAACAUUAGGUUUCUUCUUCCUUUCACGAUUGCUACCUUCGCGAAGAAAUUUUCAGAAACUUGAAGCGCCUUUCUGAUCUCCAUAACGUCUCAACCUUCCAUUAAUAUGUUUCUAACUCCGCUUGAUUAAUCCACUCCUCCCAUUGGAAGCAUUCAGUCAGACCUCUUCGCAUCUCCCUUCACUACUCCUAUCUAAAUUCAUCCAAUCUUUCAUGCAAUCAGAAUCGUGUUCCUCUAGAGGAGCAGAAGAUAAAGUCAUGGCCAUGAGUUUUGUUAGAUCCACCGGAAAAUCUUGAAUUUCUACGGUUCCAAAGGCAAAGCGAUUUAUCAGGUUUGUGUUUACUCCAUUCAUUUUCAUUAUUAAUCUCUUUUCUAAACCCGCGUUCCGAUCCUGUCGGAGCUCCACCCGUGACCACCAUGAGAUCAAUAUCAGUCCUCAAGCUUCAUUUGGCAGGGGAAUAAUUUUGAAAAACGUCAAAUGCGGUGGAAAGACUUUCCGUCACCGGCUGAUCCGGAAAUCAAGUGAUUGAAUCACGAGCAGGGAAAGAUGGGUUUGGGUUUGAUCUUGGACGCAACGAAGGAUGAUGAACCAGAUCCAUAUACUCGCGGACAUGGUGGGUACUUAGUUAGUCUCGGACCCGAUAUGCUACUUUUUAAAGAUCACUUUCUCCUCAAUUUGUUCGUUUAUGUCCUCUUCUAUAAAGCAUUGAUUUUAAGAUAAGAACUAUUGAGCUUGAUACCAAACGCAUCAAGCUCCAGAUUUGGGAUACUGCUGGUCAAGAACGUUUUCGAACCAUCACCACUUGUCAGUGUACUUUCGUUCUAAUAGUGUUCUUAGCGUCCGUUGUCCCACUGAAAACUGAAUUAGAGAGGAUUAAGAGUCACUAGCAGAAAGGAUCUCUUUUUUUCUUUCUGUGCAGUCUACUUAAUGCUAUGGAUGAUGCUUUGAGGAUAUUUAGUUUUUCUUAUUCAACAAAGAAGAUACUUCUCUCACAUUUUUGUCUCCGUAUGAUAAGUUAGUAUUUCACUGAUUUUGUUUUGAUAGUGUUGUUACUUUGUUUCCUUUCUUAUGGGUCUCAUUUUCACAUAAUCUCUUCUUGUCUACAUGCAUUUUUCAUCCAAGCCUCAGUGAACAGAAGCAACAACGAUUUCAAGCUUUUAGAUUCAAUCGUUGCGAUCUGACUCCACGAGUUUACUAAGUUGGUCAAAGUCCAUGCUGUUGCUAAUCCCAUCCCAACUGAGAUGUUCAUGUUUCGUGAGCUCGAGCAAGUGAUGGCGUUGACAAAUACAAAUGUCGAGUUGCAGACAUCAUUGAUGAGAUUUGCGAGACCAUGACAACAUACGAUGAUCAAAGCCAUACGACUCAAUGUGUGAUGGUGAACAUCCGAGUUGAUAAGGACAUGAUUGUCUGCUUAAGCGUUUUUGACAGCCUUACUGAACUCCUUCACAAAAGACUGGAAACUGGUGUCUGCCAGGCUAGAGUGAUGAUGCGACCAGCAACAACCCCAAGUUUGUAGGAGAUAGAACCUGUUCACACAUAGGAGUAUAGGACCUUCUUCCUCAAGUUCUGCUUUCAUCCCACUUCCAGAUUGUGUGCCACAGCCGGUGGUGACUCCACCAGUGUGACACAGUAAGGUGGUGUCAAGGAGCUGGAGACUGUUUCAUUAGCGGAGUUGACGACCUACUUUCUGAAGUCGCCACCACAAGCAGGUUAUUGAGUUUCUAUACACCACCAAAGUUUUAUAGGAACUACAAACAGAUGGUGCUACAUCUCAUGUGCCAAGUGUUUCAGAAAACUACAGCGUGAAAUUUCCUAACGCAAGUGCUGUUAAUGUUCUCAGGUGAAGCGGGUGAAGAUUGGGCUGUAUUGUAGCAUCUGUAUGAGUAAUGUGAGAAAUGUCAGGGCUGUAGAGGUUCCUCAUCCAAUGCUUUGUAAUCUGACCAUAAUAUAAGCAUAUACUAUACUGUUUCAUGUUAUUUAGGAUUUACUGAUGUGUGCUUUGAUGAACUUCAGGGACAAGGUGAGGAGCAAGACCCAAGUCCCAAGGAACCCAUCCAAAAAAGCCUGGACUUAGUUUCCUGCAUUGAGCACUAUACAGGAACAUAUCCAUUGGUUUCUCCCAUGGUUAAUUGAACUCACUUUAUGUUUUCCAAAUAAGGGUUAAGACACUUAGUCCACCAUCUAAUUCAAGAUUUCUCUCCCUUUUGGUUCGGUUACUUAGUAAACAUUUGGGUUGUUAAUUUUACAUAUAUAUAUAUAUAUAUAUAUAUGCAAGCACUCCUUACCAAAUCCACUAUGAAAACAAAAUUAAAAAAUCCAUUUACAUUAUAUUUUCAUCAUGUUUAGUCAAAAAGACGAUCACCUAACACAAAAACUUCUGUAACAUAUUGAGAAUCAUCACCUAACACAAAAAUCUAUUGUAACAUACUGAGAAGUGAGAAUCAUACCACUCAUACUUCAGUAAUUUACAUAUAAAGGAAAUCAAGUCUCUUCGUAGCCUAACUCUAUUUUUCUUUAAUGUAAGACUCUAGAUUCGUUUAGAGAUUUAGAGAUUAAUCUCUUCUCACUUACUGCUACUCAUUUUUCCUAGAGGACCUGCAUCAUUUUUACCCAAAAAUCACGCCAAGAACCUCCAUUAAGAUACUUUGAUUCUGUAGGUUUCCCCAUGAUAUCUGAAAAUAAUAACGGGUGAAAGUUUCCUGACUUCAUGUCUACACUUGGGAUGCAAGUAAACUGGAGUUAAAUUACAAAAAAAAAAAUAAGAAAAAGUAAACUGGAUUUUAGAACCAGUUCCAUAGCAGUUGGGUGGCCCACGUCUCUGAUUGUACUCUAAGUCCAACUACUCCAAAUAUUCGUUGUUGUUAAUAAGUAUUUAGUUAUUUACUACUGCAGUUACCCAUCUAUUGGUAGCAGCUGUGCAUGUGGUUACCUUAAAUUAGUAAUGUUCACUAAAAACAACCCUCUCUUAACCCAACCAUCCAAACCUUACUUCCGUCACUUACAAUCUUUAUCAAUGAUCAAAGCAUUCGGUGAUUAACUUUCAUGUUCGUUAUGUUCCCUAUUUAAACUCUCUUAGCGCUUUUAUCCCAUACUCUGAAGCAUCAAACCUUGCUUCUUUUAACUCGGCUUACAUAUGAUCUUCACACAAUGACAUGCGUACGUCGCCUACAUUUUAUAACAAACCUGUAAUACAUCGCCUAAAUUUUAUAAGGAACCUGCAACCCUUCGUUUUUUUUGCAAACUAACCUGCAAUCUUUCGUUCAUGCACGUUCCUGAUUAUUAUUUAUAACAUAGAAGAAGAUGGUUGGAAUUAUGUAUAUGCUGACAUCUUUGUGUGUUCUCUGCAUAUUAGAAUCUGAAUAAUAACAAAAUGUGUAUAUAUAUAUAUAUAAUAUGGAUAUUUUGUUAUUAUUAAUUUCGGUAUGGCAUAGUUUUCGACGUUAUCAUUCAAAACCUUAACCUCACAAACACAAUAACACAAAUUUAGAAACCCCGCGUGAAGCAAAUAAUUCUAGAUUAGUCAAAACCAAAUAAUAUUUAGUUAAGGAAAGUUUUGAAUAAAACAUUGUUAGAAACACACUCAUAAUCACGGGUAGAAUACAUUCAGGUAUACCACAAUCAAACAUAAAAUUUUAACACACAAUUGAGAAAAUAUAAUAAAUUAC